rnacentral:lncRNA from 1 species
AUGGGAGACAUGGAUGAAGUUCCUGGUUUCUGGCUUCAGCCUGGUCCAGCUCUGGCUGUUGUGACCGUGUGGGUAGUGAAUCAGCAGUGGUUGUGCAUGGUUAGCUGGAAACAGGAAUUAUCCCUGAGGCUGGGGCCUUCUCCAAGCAGAUCCACUGAUCCACAGUCAUCUGUGGAUCCCAACCGUUCCAUUUUCUUUCUUACUUUCCAGAUCUGCUGCACUGGAGCUAUCUCCCUAGUGCCCCAAGAUGAGCCAGAUCUGCACACUUACAGCUGCUCACGUAGGGAUGGCAGGUGCAAUGUCCUUCUGAGAAUGAUCUGGGUUUCUGAGAAUAAGAAACACCAACCAAAUGGUGAGAACAUUACCUUUGGAAUCCUAUGUGAGCACAAGACAAACUCAGCCUUUCUGUGCCAGCCAACGGUAGGAAUACUCCGUUCCCUGCCAUGGUUACGGACCUCUCUAAGAAAGCCCAGAGCAUCCCCUGCUCUGGUCUCCAGGCAGUGGCCUUCUCUGGAAAUCCUCCCCAGCCUGUUCUCCCUCCAUCUACCCCUUAAAUACAGGUGCUCCCCAAGAAGGCACCUACAACACUCUGGUUUUUCUCCAUAUUUCCUCCUGACCCACACCCAGCCUAAGACCGAAGCUAGCCUUUCUGCAUACAGGAAUUCCAAAUCUCUACACCUCUAAUCUCUCUGCCCAACUCAUGUGUGUGUUUACCCUUGAACAUCAGCAGAUGUCUCUGAAGGUCAAGGAUUAAAAUGCAACUCAUCCAAAUUAUGACAAGAAGUGGGGACUACUCUCAAUUCCCUGUUUCUUUUUUUUUUAAUUAUUUAUUUUAUUUGAAAGUCAGAUUUACAGAGAGAGAAAGAGAGUCAGAGAGAGAGAGAGAGAGAGAGAGAGAGGUGUCUUCCUUCAGCUGGUUCACUCCUGAGGUGGCCGCAAUGGCCAAUGCUGUGCCAAUCCAAAGCCAAGAGCCAGGAGCUUCUUCCAGUCUCCCACACGGUGCAGGAGCCCAAGGACUUGAGCCAUCUUCUACUGCUUUUCCAGGCCACAGCAGAGAGCUGGAUCGGAAGUGGAGCAACUAGGACAUGAACCAACGUCCUGCCAGCACUGCCACAGAGCCAGCUCCAUGAAUUCCCUAUUUCUGCACCCACUCAUUCUCUCAAGCCCCCAGGUGGCCACAAGUGCAUUUGGUCCCUCUCUCUUCCAACAUUUACAUAUGCACACACACACACACAGCUCUACCUGAUCAGUUUCAUCCAUCUCCCUUUAUGUUCUCUCAAAUUUUUCCUUUCUCUGGUCCUACUACCCCACCCCAGCUCAGGUGCUUGUCAUGCAUCACUUAAACUGACACAGUCCUCCCCUUAUUUGUUCCCCUAUCCUGGUUCAUUCAAUAAAUAUUCUUGUACAAGGUGUCUCUACUGGCCU